CGGAGGGGCCACACAGUC
rnacentral:misc_RNA from 1 species